UACGUAGGGGGCAAGCGUUGUCCGGAAUUAUUGGGCGUAAAGAGCGUGUAGGCGGCCCGGUAAGUCCGCUGUGAAAGUCGGGGGCUCAACCCUCGAAUGCCGGUGGAUACUGUCGGGCUAGAGUGCGGAAGAGGCGAGUGGAAUUCCUGGUGUAGCGGUGAAGUGCGCAGAUAUCAGGAGGAACACCGAUUGCGAAGGCAGCUCGCUGGGACGUUACUGACGCUGAGACGCGAAAGCGUGGGGAGCAAACAGG
rnacentral:rRNA from 1 species